rfam:Apaloderma vittatum contig53274, whole genome shotgun sequence.
GGCUGGUUAGCUCAGCUGGUUGGAGUGUGGUGCUGCUAACACCAAGGUCACAGGUUCGAUUCCCAUUCGAUCCC